AUUGCUAGUCAAAGUUUCGCGCACGUGCGACAUCAAGAUCAUAGUGAUCUAAUUACGUUCCAUUAAACUCAUACUUAACGAUCCUCGAUCGCAAUGACGCGUCCCUGAAUCGACGCGACGGUGCGUCGAAUCGAGCCGAUCUCCGCGCAAUUAAUGCUCUUCCAACGAUCGAUUCGCUAAAGUCGAAGCCUCGAUCCUCUCGACGGCUGAUUAACGAGGAGAGCAAUUACGCUUCUUCGAUUGACUUCCGUCACCCUUAGGCUCAUCAACAGUGAUCUUGAAACGAUGGAAACACGCAAGAAAUUGCAAGCGAAACCUUUAAGGUCAUUUAUCAUCAAUGAUAGACGAAGAAGAAGAAGAAGAAGUGAAGGGGCACUUUGAUCGGUGCAUUUAAAUUAUUAAGUACGAUUUUUUCA